UUUGUAUUUUUAGUGGAGACGCGGUUUCAUCGCAUUAGCCAGGAUGGUCUCAAUCUCCUGACCUUGUGAUCCGCCCGCCUCGGCCUCCCAAAGUGCUGGGAUUAUAGGCGUGAGCCACCACACCCGGCCAAUUUUUGUAUUUUUAGUAGAGACAGGGUUUCACCAUGUUGGUCAAGCUGGUCUUGAACUCCUGACCUCAGGUGAUCCACCCGCCUCGACCUUCCAAAGUGCUGGGAUUACAGGUGUGAGCCACCGCUCCCAGCUAAAAAUUCUUAUAAAUUUUCAGGAAUACAUACAGCUGGUAAGUAUGGAAAAGGAGCCAGGUGUAGUGGUGCCACCUACAGUCCCAGCUAUGCAUGUAGUCCCAGCUACUUGGGAGGCUGAAGCAGGACGAUUGCUUAAGUCUAGGAGUUUGAGGUUGCAGUGCACUAUGAUCGGGUCUGUGAAUAGCUACAGCACUACAUUCUGAGCAACAUAGUGAAACUCUGUCUUAUAAAAUAUAUAUGUGUGUGUAUAUAAGGAAAACAAGAGAAUGAUGGAUAUCUUGAGAGAUGGAACACAUAGCUAGAUUUAUUGCCAAGUUAUUCCCAAGGUCCUAGCUUUCAUGCUGAUUAUUUCUUUUUUUUUUUUUUUUUUGAGACGGAGUCUUGCUCUGUCGCCUAGGCUGGAGUGCAGUGGCGCGAUCUUGGCUCACUGCAAGCACCGCCUCCCGGAUUCACGCCAUUCUCCUGCCUCAGCCUCCCGAGUAGCUGGGACUACAGGCACCCGCCACCAUACCCGGCUAAUUUUUUGUAUUUUUAGUAGAGAUGGGGUUUCACCGUGUCAGCCAGGAUGGUCUCAAGCUCCUGACCUUGUGAUCCGCCCGCCUUGGUCUCCCAAAGUGCUGGGAUUACAGGCAUGAGCCACCGUGCCCGGCCCAUGUUGAUUAUUUCUUAUAGUCUUUUUUUGAAAUGGAGUCUCGCUCUGUCGCCCAGGCUGGAGUGCAAUGGUGCAAUCUCCGCUCACAGUAACCUCCACCUCCCGGACUCAAGUGAUUCUCCUGCCUCAGCCUCGCAAGUAACUGGAAUUAACAGGCAUGCACCACCAUGCCCAGCUAAUUUUUUUUUGUAUUUUUCAUAGAGACAGGGUUUCACCAUGUUGGCCAGGUGGGUCUUGAACUCCUGACCUCAGGUGAUUCACCUGCCUUGGCUUCCCAAAAUGUUGGGAUUACAGGCGUAAGCCACCGCACCUGGCCCCAUAUGAUAGCCUUAUAAGUAAAUGUGUGCUGUGCAUGGAACAAUGAUGAGAGUGUGUCAUGAACCAAGGUUAUGAUUAAUCUAGUUCUGUGCAUCUGAAAUCCGUUAAAGGAAAGGGAGAGAAAUUAGCCUACCUCAUCCUCCAGGCAGCCUCAGUUGUUGGGGGUGAUGGGGAGAAGAUUUUUCUCCCCCAAGCUCCUUUGGGACUUUUCUCCAGGGACUGGCCCUAGGUCCUCCUCUUGUAGAGGUGAGCUGGUGGAAUAGAGGUGGAGCAGCAAGGAGGGAAGUAAUCCAGGGUUUGGCUUCCUCUGGAAAUGGGUCCUGAAAUCAGUGGGAAAAUGAGCCUCUCCUGAGGCUGAAGAAGGAAUCUGGAAGUGUGAGUCAGCUUCCAUUCCCAUUCAGCUUCCCACACUCCCCAGCUUAGAACUUUUGAGUAUGUAGUCUCCCAUCCAUUUCAUCUAUGACCUUAGGGUGGGGGUUAGGAGGAGCCCCAGAGCUGGGCCCUGAGUGAAUGGGGCUGUGGCCACAUGAAUGACAGUCAUAGUCGUUAUAAACAUUCUGGGUACUAGGGAGCUGGGACCAAGGUCUUGCUAUGUUGCCCAGGCUGAAGUGCAGUGGCGAUUCCUUGGUGCUAUCAUAGCACACUGUGGCCUCAAGCUCCUGGCCUCAAACAAUCCUCUUGCUUCAGCCUGCCACCUGCCAAGUAGCUGGGACUAUAGGCACAGAACUAUAUGGGCACAGUCCCACUAUGCCCAGCUUAAACCAGUGGCUUCGAAGUCCAUCAUGAAACUAGGGAGCUGCUGACUCAAUAUAUAUAUAUUUGAGACAAAGUGUUACUUUGUUGUUCAGGCUGGAGUGCAGUGGCACAAUCUUAGCUCACUGCAACCUCUGCCUCCCAGGUUCAAGUGAUUCUCAUGCCUCGGCCUCCCGAGUAGCUGGGACUUCAGGUGCAUGAUCAUGCCCAGCUAAUUUUUGUAUCUUUGGUAGAGAUGGGGUUUCACCAUGUUGGCCAGACUGGUCUCGAACUCCUGACCUCAGGUGAUCAACCUGCCUCGGCCUCCAAAAUUGUUGGGAGUACAGGCGUUCUGAACCACUGCACCUGUUUUGUUGUUGUUGUUGUUGUUGUUGUUUGAGACAGAGAGUCUUGCUCUGUCACUUGGGCUGGAGUGCAGUGGUGCAAUCACAACUCACUGUUGUCUCAACUUCCCAGGCCCAAGUAAUUCUCCCACCUCAGCCUCCCAAGUAGCUGGGACUAUAGAUGCACCACCACACUCAGCUUAUUUAUUUAUUUUAGAGAUGAGGUCUCGGUUGGGUGGAGUGACUCAGGUCUGUAAUCUCAGCAUUUUGGGAAGCCAAGGCAGGCAGAUCACUUAAGGUCAAGGGUUCAAGACCAGCCUGGCUGACAUGGUGAAAACCCAUCUCUACUAAAAUUACAAAAACUAGCUGGGCAUGGUGGUGCGCACCUGUAGUCUCAGCUACUAGGGAGACUGAGGCAGGAGAAUCACUUGAACCCAGGAGGCGGAGGUUGCAGUGAGCCGAGAUCAUGCCACUGCACUCCAGCCUCGUCGACAGAACAAGAUUCCAUCUCUUAAAAAAGAAAAAGUAGAGAUGAGGUCUCACUAUAUUGCCCAGGCUAGUCUUGAACUCCUGAUAUGGUAAAACCACGUCGCUACUAAAAAUAAAAAAUAAAAAAAUUAGCCAGGUAUGGUGUCAUGUGCCUGUAGUCCCAGCUACUUGGGACGCAUGAGAAUCAUUUGAACUAGGAGGCAGAGGUUGCAGUGAGACGACAUCAUGCCACUACACUCCAGCCUGGGCGACACAGCAAGACUCUAUCUUAAAAAAAAAAAAAAGAAGUCAGGCUGGACUGGGCUAAGGGUAUAAAAGAGGGGUUGGAAGUUGCACCAGACUACAGUAGGUUCCUAGGAAAGGGGAUGGAGCUCUCUGGCUGAAUCAGAUCAGACCGGGUCAGGAAAAAUGAGGAAGGAGCUGGGAGUCCAGGAGGGACAGAGGUUUGGGGUUGGGUUCAGACCUCUGUGGAUCCAGAAGCCCUGGCUGGGGUACAUGGUCAGACUAUCCGAAUGAAUUAAUUCACCAACAGACACAUACGUAAACAUAUGCGUAUACAUGCCUACAUACAAACACACGUAUACACUGCCUUACCUGCACAUAUAAACAGAUCCAGGCCCUCCCUAGCUCAGCAACACAUACAUAAACAUAUGCAUAUACAUGCCCACAUACAAACACAUGUAUAUACUCCCUUACCUGCACAUAUAAACAGAUCCAGGCCCUCCCUAGCUCAGCAGCACAUACAUACACACACACUCAGGCUAAUGGGCUAGAUGUACACUCAGUGCCAGACACAGACCCACUGUAGAUGUUACCUGGCACUCUCAGGGUGAGUUGCUGGUGGCAGUUGGCUGGUAAAUGUCCUUCAGGCUGGCCAGAUCUACAAAGGAAGAGUUGGGGGUGGGGUGCAAUAGCAUUCCUUGGGGUCCUGAGGCACUGGGUUAUGAGAAGCUGGGCUGGCAGCAGGGCACGGCCAAGAUAACUGUAGAUUGGAGAUUGGACAGGUCAUACAGUCCCUUCCUCUGGUGUCUUCCUACCAGCUAGGGAGGUGAGGGUAGAGGUGCCAGUCUAUCGGGCUUUAUUUCAGGUCCAGGGAGAACUUAGGAGGGGAACAGUUUGAGGCCUCAGCUUCCCCUGCCUGGGAUGACAAAGAGGGACACUGGAUAGGGAGCUUUAUGGGCACUAAGACCCCAUCUCCAAUCUACAGCGGGGUCUCCAUAUCUUCCCAGUCUGGAGAGUAGCAAUCCUGCUACUCUCUUAAUCCCCCACCCAGGGACCUUAGCACCAGGGGAGACUAAUUUAGACCUCAGCUGCUGACCGGGCAGAGUGGACCACGCCUAUAAUCCUAGUACUUUGAGAGGCCAAGGCGGGUGGAUCACCUGAGGUCAAGAGUUUGAAACCAGC
rnacentral:lncRNA from 1 species